GAGACCGAGUAAUAAUAAAACUCCAGUCUCCCACACAGCUAGCUCUGCGUGAAUUACCUUUUCUCUGUUGCAAAUGCCCUUUCUUGAUAAAUUGGCUGUCUAGGUAACAGGGAAGGUGAACCCACUGGGCAGUUACACUUUUAUCCACCCUUCCAGCUGGAUCACGCGCCCUCUUCAAUGACAUGACACGCAGCUAGAGUGUAUGAGCUUGCUGCCGGCACCUUCCGUCCUGGAUCGCAUAGCAAGGCCUCAAUGGACAGCCAGGUGCCUGGUCCGGUCCCACUUUUUUUUCUGUCCUGUUCUCGUUUCCUCUUUGCUUGGCCAAAGAGGGUUGGGCCAGGGUCCUGAGUGCAAAGGCUUGGCUUGGUGAAUUAAAGUGGCAGUAGCCGUGUGGCAGAGAAAAUUUGUAGAUGGGUGAAAUCCUGGGCCUACACAGUGACAAAGUGUAUAUAGACAGCCAGCCUAGUUGGUGGAUGUGACAACCCCAGACUCUUCUAGAUUUGUGGAUCCGUGCACCUGCCAGACCUGUCUCUGAGCCAUCUGGGGAGGCUGGGUAAGAUUUCCCCCGUCAGGGCCUGAGCCUCAUCUCCAAGCUGCUGGCUUCAGCCCAGCUGCCACCAGCGCUGUCUCUGUCUUGCGCUUUCCAGAGAGAGACUGACUCAUUUUGAGCUCCAGGCCUACCAGGCAGCCCAACCGCGGCAGUAACUGCCUCUCACACUGAGGAUGGCUCAUGCUCUGGUCCAGCCAUGGCUUGAACACCUCCCAACAAGAACAAAGCCAGACUCAUUCUCCCUAGCAUCUUCUUCCUUGCUCAAAGAUCCCACACCCCGUUAGAAGCUGGAACUGGGUCCUUGUCACCUUCCUCACCUCCCCAGUCGUAGUCUGGUUAAUCCUUACAUCUCACCACGGUCACCGUGGCUAGAUGUGACCUCCGCGAUGCUUCAGGCACGUACCAGGGCAGCCUGGGCAGGGCUGGUCACUGUGAUCUCAUGAGGUGUGAACUUGACCCCGGCCUUCUUUCCUGGGAUGCCGGCUAAGGACACAAGUUCAGUGUUUGCCCUGGCUUGUAGCCCAGCGGGGGCUCCGUCAUCCCCUGGGGAAUGCCUCGGCCUGCAAGACCGCAUACCGCAUUGGAACAGGGAAACCACCUACUUCAGCACCUCCCUCAGCAAGGUGGCAGGUCCCAACAAGCCUUGCACCACGAGGAAGUGGCAGUGGCAUUCGGGAUAUGGCUCCCUGGCCAGCUUGUGAAGUUCAAGGGGCUCGUUACUUCUUACAGCUCACAGUCCCUCCCGGGUCCAGCACACCUGAGGGCUGACCUCCCUCUUGAUUAGUGCAGGGGAAAAGCACUUUAAAAAGCUGUGUCAUGCGUAACUUGCACAUCUUCUGAUUCUGACCUGAAACUGCAUCCCAGGUCGGCACAGACGCAACCCAGUCUCCUCCCACCUCCGAGAGUGCAGUGUCCUGAAUGGAGAACCCCAGCACCCAGAAGCAUCCACUGAAGGACGUACUUCUUUGAUAGUGCCUCCAUGCAUGCAGAAGAUGACGUGGAGAGCUCCGCGCGGCACAGGGCAGGAAGCUGGUGUGCACUCUCAUGGAUCCGAAGCCAACACACGCCUCUCAACUGAGGACUCUGCCCCUCUGGCAUUCUUCCAGCCACCAGCCCUGGGGGCCAGGAGCCACUGAGUGGGUCACACAGCCUUAGAGGGCAACGAGGGCAGGAGCUCGCCCUGGCGGUCCCCAUGCAGACAAGAGGGUCACUGGCUUCCUUGCUUUGCUCUUCCUGGACAUCUUCCUCGACAUUCAUCUUUCCAUCCUACCAAGAGCGUGGAAACCACAGGGCAUGAGGACAGGCGGAGACAACGCUGGACCAUCUCACAGCCACAUCAAGAGGCUGCCCACAUCAGGGCUUUCUACGUGGUUGCAAGGAACACAAACCUGUGUGCUCCAUUUGCCCACUGGCACUAGGCCUCCUGCCCACCACCCGCUUCUAGGCUAUUCGAGCCGCAGGAGCUACAGGCUGCUAGAGAACCCUGCGGCAGGAUGCUGGGCGCGGUUCAGCUUUUGCCAGGGAGCAGCAUGGGACUGGGAUUUGGAAGGUGUACAGUGGCUGCGGGCUUUAGCAGGAGGAGUGUCUACAGCACCUUCUGCUCCUCCAGAAAUAAGGAAACUGAGGCACAGCUAUAAAGCAAUGUCCUGAGACUGGCACCUGGGGGCUGCCCUCUUCCUGCCAGACUGAGUGCCUCAGAGUGCUACAACUGACCAGAGGGGAGAAGCCAACUGAGGCAGCCUGUUUACUUCUAAGGGACUAACCCACAUGAAAAGACCCAGGCCUCCUGCGCCGGCCUCACGGCCCCUACACGCGUUAUCAAGCUUGGAGUCAACUGGACGACCUGCUGUCCCUCAGACAGCUGUGAGUGCCACACUUCACCAUACCGGGACAAUGUGCCUUUGCAUGUGUGUCCUCUGCCCACCCUGGGCCCAUGAACAGCUCACUCCCCUUGCAAAACUUGACUGUAACUCCCUCUAGAAGAAUUUUUGGAC
rnacentral:lncRNA from 1 species